rnacentral:rRNA from 1 species
CUACGGGUGGCUGCCGCAGUGGGGAAUAUUGCACAAUGGGCGCAAGCCUGAUGCAGCCAUGCCGCGUGUGUGAAGAAGGCCUUCGGGUUGUAAAGCACUUUCAGCGGGGAGGAAGGCGGUGAGGUUAAUAACCUCAUCGAUUGACGUUACCCGCAGAAGAAGCACCGGCUAACUCCGUGCCAGCAGCCGCGGUAAUACGGAGGGUGCAAGCGUUAAUCGGAAUUACUGGGCGUAAAGCGCACGCAGGCGGUCUGUCAAGUCGGAUGUGAAAUCCCCGGGCUCAACCUGGGAACUGCAUUCGAAACUGGCAGGCUAGAGUCUUGUAGAGGGGGGUAGAAUUCCAGGUGUAGCGGUGAAAUGCGCAGAGAUCUGGAGGAAUACCGGUGGCGAAGGCGGCCCCCUGGACAAAGACUGACGCUCAGGUGCGAAAGCGUGGGGAGCAAACAGGAUUAGAACCCGUGUAGUC